AUAUAUAUAUAUAUAUAUAUAUAUAUAUAUAAUAUAGAUGAGUAAUUAUAUAUCUGCUGGUUAAUCAAUGAUGAGAGGCAUAAGAUGAUAACAAGUCCAAAGGAAGCAGAUUUAUCUAGUGAUAAUAAAAUCACAAAGGCUUCAUCAUCUUGUACUUCAACGCCAUGGUUAAGAUUGAAGGAUCCAAGGAUAGUGAGAGUAUCGCGUGCUUUUGGAGGAAAAGACAGGCAUAGCAAGGUUUGCACCAUAAGAGGAUUAAGAGACAGGCGGGUGAGGCUUUCAGUACCCACUGCUAUUCAAUUGUAUGAGCUUCAAGAUAGGCUUGGCCUUAAUCAGCCUAGCAAAGUUAUUGAUUGGUUGCUCAAUGCAGCCAAGCAUGAAAUCGAUGAGCUCCCGCCCUUGCCUAUACCACCGCCCGGUAGCUUUAGCCUAAGUCAUCAACCAAUGCUUCCUUCUAAUGAUCAAGUCGGUGCUUCUCAAUCCAAUGAAGAAGGGUUUUAUAAGAUGAAUAGCAGCUUUUGGAGUUCCGAUGCGCCUUUUUGGCGGGCUAAAUCCAAAGAAUCAGUCAAUCCAAAGGACAAUUGGGCAAGAAGGAGUGAAGAAGAAGAAAAACUAGAAGGUAAUGAAUUUCCAUCUAAUAGCUUCUUGUCAAGAGCUAAUUUACCUUCCUUAGCAGGUUUACUCAUGAAUAGUAGUACUGCUGUGCCAUACAAUAAUUAUCACUGCGAUCCUUCAAAUUUUCCCCCUCAUCAUUUUGGAAGCCAUGGAUUCAUCAGUACAGCUCAAGCAGAAGAUCACCACAGCUGUAGUAUCAUGCCAUUGCCUUCUACUUUGUCUUUAUCAACACAAUCUUUUUUCCCUCCGCAUGCUGUUAUGGCUUCAGUGGGGGAGAUUGAUCCCAGACAAGUCAACCAUUUUCAAAUGUUGAGCUCAAGCUCACAUAAUAACCUCUUGCAAAAUUCUCUCGCGCAACCUGUAUACCCUAUAAGCCAACCAAUAAGGCCUGUCCAGUACUUCAGCAUGACUCCUAAGCUUCUUCAUUCUCCAACCAACGACAGAGGAUCAAUGGAUCAGCCAAAUCAUGAAGACCAAGAUUCUCCCUCUAAAUGAUACAGAAACAAUAAAGUGUUAUUAUAAGGAAAGUUGCUGUUCGUUUCAAGAAACAAUUAAGCAUCUCAAAAAUCUUCUUUAAACAGUCGUACAAAGAAGAAGCAGUGAGCAACAAAGAAUGCCGAAGAACACGGUGAGCAACGAAGAACAUGGUGAGAAUCAAAAAGUCGAAGAAAGAAAAUCGAAAACAUAAACAGUCCUUCUCUCGCUCCCUCGUCGAUGAUGAGGCUUUUCAAAUGGAAAGACAAUUCCUUCUCUGAUACCUCACCCCAGUCAUUCUGUCCCUCCCCUUUAAUUUGCUGAUGCCACUAGUGAUCGGACUGGCGAGGCUGAUUCGGCUUGUGUACCACAACAAGAAGGUGGGGUUUUGCAUGGAUUCUGAGGCCUUGGCCGCGCUCCAGCUCCUCAAGGGACCCAUUGGCGUCGUCUCCGGCCAACUCAUCAAUGAUGAGUGAAAUUUAAGGUUUAUGGAUUUUUCAGUAACUUGAUUAGUGCUUUCCUUUAGUUGGUUUUAUAAUUUGUGAAUUGAGAUGGUCUUUUAGGGUUUUAAAGCUAGAGAACUGUUCCAGUGUGAUAAAUGCAUGGUGGUUUAAUUUUGUGAUUUGAGCAAUUUAGGAGAGCUUUAGUACUCGUAUUAGGACAAUUUUUUUGGUUUUCUUCUUAUUUCUCUUGAGUGAUAUUUUCGGUUCUGCUUUGUUCUUAAU